AACGAACGCUGGCGGCAUGCCUAACACAUGCAAGUCGAACGAGACCUUCGGGUCUAGUUGCGCACGUGUGCGUAACGCGUGGGAACCUGCCCUUAGGUUCGGAAUAACUCCCCGAAAGGGGUGCUAAUACCGGAUAAUGUCCUCGGACCAAAGAUUUAUCGCCUUUGGAUGGGCCCGCGUUGGAUUAGCUAGUUGGUAGGGUAAAAGCCUACCAAGGCGACGAUCCAUAGCUGGUCUGAGAGGAUGAUCAGCCACACUGGGACUGAGACACGGCCCAGACUCCUACGGGAAGCAGCAGUGGGGAAUAUUGGACAAUGGGCGAAAGCCUGAUCCAGCAAUGCCGCGUGAGUGAUGAAGGCCUUAGGGUUGUAAAGCUCUUUUACCCGGGAUGAUAAUGACAGUACCGGGAGAAUAAGCUCCGGCUAACUCCGUG
rnacentral:rRNA from 1 species